AACGAACGCUGGCGGCAUGCCUAACACAUGCAAGUCGAACGAGACCUUCGGGUCUAGUGGCGCACGGGUGCGUAACGCGUGGGAACCUGCCCUUAGGUUCGGAAUAACUCCCCGAAAGGGGUGCUAAUACCGGAUAAUGUCUUCGGACCAAAGAUUUAUCGCCUUUGGAUGGGCCCGCGUUGGAUUAGCUAGUUGGUAGGGUAAAAGCCUACCAAGGCGACGAUCCAUAGCUGGUCUGAGAGGAUGAUCAGCCACACUGGGACUGAGACACGGCCCAGACUCCUACGGAAGGAAGCAGUGGGGAAUAUUGAACAAUGGGCGAAAGCCUGAGCCAGCAAUGCCGCGUGAGUGAUGAAGGCCUGAGGGUUGUAAAGCUCUUUUACCCGGGAUGAUAAUGACAGUACCGGGAGAAUAAGCUCCGGCUAACUCCGUG
rnacentral:rRNA from 1 species